CUUGCUUGUGGUUGAAUGGAAACGGUGCUCCGAACGGUAGCAUGCUCCAGAGUUCUCCAAAAUGAAAAAAGAAGAUUUAUUUUAAAUGGGUGCAAAGGGGUGGAAAGCGGCCAACCCUGGAGCUUGCUUGUUGUGUGUGGGAGGAGUUGCUUGGCCCCGUCAUGCCCAAUCCCACCCGGCUGCAACCCCCGAAGCAGCUACAUCGAUCCCGCCGCUGUGACCGUGACCUCGACCUACAAGAGCCUGAAUAUCACAGGUCACUUCUCACUCGCCCGUUCGCACUGGAGGCCACGGGUUGUUUCACUGAGACUGUCGCCUGGAGCCUGCUUACACAAGAGAUGAACUUCGCUCAAAGCCAGCAAAAAUAAACAAUUGCGAUUCAGAUUGUAGCUGUGUACAAUAUGUUUGGAGACCUUCUUUAUAGCAACUAUUCUGAGAACAGGAGUGACAAAAAGAACAUAUGUGGCUCUUAACUUUUCAAGCAUGGAUGAAAUUAUCAAAAUGACCUUGAACAUUUCAGCGAGCGCUAUUGCACUAUUUCUUUGAGGCCUAAUCAAUAAAACAAUUGUCACCCUUGUUGUAAAAUAUGGGAAAUGUUAAAAUAAAUUGUGGAGCUACGCGAAAGCAGAUGUCCUGUGAAUGUCAUGUUUUAACACAAUUUAGAGAGAACAUUGUAUUCCAGUGCAAUAAGUCGGAUUUCUGUAGUAACAAGACUAAAAUUAUUAGUGUUAAAUAAAACGAAAAG